UUUUUUUUUUUUUUUCCGAGAUGGAGUCUUGCUGUGUCGCCCAGGCUGGAGUUCAGUGGUGUGAUCUCGGCUCACUGCAACCUCUGCCUCCUGGGUUCACGCAGUUCUCCUGCCUCACUCAGCCUCUCCAGUAGCUGAGAUUACAGGCACAUGCCACCACGCCCAACUAAUUUUUGUAUUUUUAGUAGAGAUGAGAUUUACCAUGUGGGCCAGGAUGGUCUCAAACUCUUGACCUCGUGAUCCGCCCACCUCAGGCUCCCAAAAUGCUGGGAUCACAGGCGUGAGCUACCACACUCAGCCAACGUUUGUACUUUUAGUAGACACAGGGUUUCUCCGUGUGGACCAGGCUGGUCUUGAACUCCUCACCUCAGGUGAUCCACCUGCCUCCCACAGUGCUGGGAUUACAGGCGUGAGCCACUGUGCCUGUCGAACCCUGCCUUUUUACUCCACAGCAUACAACAUAGAACUUAGUUCUGUGUACAGCCUUGUCUUUUUCAGUCACUGUCUCGUUGAUACAUCACCCUUUUCUCCCCAUCUACACCGUUGGUUCCAGCCAGACCGGAACCCCUGGGCCCUGCAGUCAUUUCCUGAAUGAACUCUCACUGUGCUCCAGGCAGGGUGGGAGCCAGUAAACCCUGGGCUGAGGCUCAGUCUGCAGGCCCAGGAAAUUUACAACCUGCUAGGAGAGAGAAGCCACACGCUGGGUAAGUGAAAGGAUGGUGUAGGUAAUAAGGAAGGCACUUUCAAGCCAGGGGGAAGGCGGCUGGAGGAGAGAUACCUGCCCACCAGGUGCACCUGGGAGGCUCUGUGAGAGGAAGAGGGGCUUGACGGGAAGGUUGGAAAGGCUGGAGAGCAAUGCGGCAACCAGUGCUUAGGCCACGGUCAUUGUUCGUGCCACGGAGCGGUGGCGGAUCAGUUAGUGGUAGGGCAGAUUGGUGGGAGCCCAACUGUUGCAAAGCCUCAAGAACCAGGGAGGAGGAGGGUUGGUUGACUCAACAGCCACAGAAUUUUUUUGAACUUCCCAAAUGCAUACCCAGGGAGCAGACACUGGAAACCUACAGAUUGGCAAAAAGAAGAAAAUCACUACAACCCCACAGCCCAAAGAGCAAAGUGUGGGAAAACUCAUCCCUCCCAGGGCGUUCGUGCAUUUCAUAAUCCGGCUACGCUUCCUUCCUACAUUCACGCAGAUGUACCCGUCUUGUUUAAUUAACAGUAUUUCUCAAACACCUUUCUAUGUUGGUAAUUCCUUUUUUUCAAUGUGUCAAAAUUUUAUUUUAUGUUUUCUUAUGUUUGUAAUUCUAAGCUUUUUUUUUUUUUAGACAAGGUCUUAAUCUGUCCUCUGGGCUACAGUGCAGUGGCAUGCUUGUGUUUCGCUUCAGCCUGUAAGUCCUGGGCUCAAGCAAUCCUCCCACCUCAGCCUCCCGAAUAGCUGAGACUACAGGCGUGCACCACGAUGCCCAGAUAACUUUUUUUGUUUGUUUUAAUUGAGUUUGCCCAGGCUGGUCUCAAACUCUUGACCU
rnacentral:lncRNA from 1 species